CUAAAUAUGAGUAUCAUCUGUUUCCUGCAUUUCCUGACGUUUUCCAGUUUGGGGUCUAAUUUCAAAAACAUGUAAAUCAAAAUAGUGUCUGAACUGCUAACAGUGAUUUUAGAAGCUCCUGUUAGGAGCUUCAGCCUGAAAUGUUGACUGUUUACACUUUUCCUAGAUGUUGCCUGGCCUGCUGAGUUCCUCCAGCAUUUUGUUUGUGUUGCUCGGUAUUUUCAAUAUUAUUUCUUAAUCAUUCUACCACAUGACUUGUUUUAUUUUCUUCUAUUGCAUACUCUCAUGAGACAAGCCAGCUGCUCUAAUUCCCCAGGAACAAUGAUUAGUUGAUGCUAAUCCUUCCUCCUGACAUGAUCUGAAGAAGAAAAGAUGGUCCAUGGUGGGCUUCAAGUGCAAGGUUGACAGCUGGCUGACGUUAUUUUUGGUUUGCUGCUGGCGGCAAAUUUAAGUUUGGCGUUUUUCAUAAAUACAAGAAGGACUCAAAUAGACAACUGGUAUUGAUAGGACUGAUCAAUGUACAGACCUUGUGAAGACCUCUCUCAUACAACAUAAUAUUGCGGAGGAAUAUAUUCAGAACAGAUCUGACAGCACGAAGUUGGACCUCCCAGAGCUCAGAAUCUGCUCGGUGGUGGGUCUCAGCGUUAUGGAUUCAAGAUUCAAGAUUAUUUAUUACCAUUCUUCAGUACACGAGGGUAAAGGAGAACAAAAUGAUUGUAUCCCAGAUCCAACGCUUAAUUUUUAAAAAACACAAUAAGCAUAAAAACAAAAUAAAAGCAUCUUCAAAAACAUAAAGUGUUGAGUGUGGCCAUCCCUUCAUAAGGUUAGCUUACAUACGUUGACUGACUGCAUGUACAUAAAUUGACGCUAGAUGCAGGAGUAUCUGUACAUAAGGUGACUGACAAGAAAGAAUAAAGUGACAAAGUGACUCUUGGCAAGAGGGACUCUUCUGGGAAGCAGCAGGGCAUGGAGGCCAAUAUAUCUGACCUCUCAAACCACUGCUAGACUCAUCACUGAGUGUGCAGAAACCUCCUGAGUUCAGAGAAUCUGGCUGAGUGGUGCCACAACGACCUCUCACUCAACACAAAUGAGGUAACACAAGUGUCCAGAUGAAGAUUCACAAGAAUGAUUCCAGAAAUGGAAGGGUUAUCAUAUGAGGAACAUCUGGCAGCCCUUGGGUUAUCUUCCCUGGAAUUCAGGAGAAUAAGGAAGGAUCUCAUAGAAACAUUCUGAAUGUUAAAAGGCUGAACAGAUUAGAUAUGGCAAAGUUAUUUCCCAUGGUAGGGGAGUCUAGGACAAGAGGGCAUGAUUUCAGGAUUGAAGGAUAUCAAUUUAGAACAGAGAUGCAGAGAAAUUACUUUAGUCAGAGGGUGGUAAAUCUGUGGAAUUUGUUGCCACCAGGGGCUGUGGAUGCCUGGUCAUUGGGUGCAUAUAAGGCAGGGAUAGAUAGGUUCUUGAUUAGCCAGGGCGUCAAAGGGAGAAGGCAGGAGA